rnacentral:rRNA from 1 species
UAUGUAGGUGGCAAGCGUUGUCCGGAUUUAUUGGGUUUAAAGGGUGCGUAGGCGGUCUAUUAAGUCAGCGGUGAAAUACUCCAGCUUAACUGGAGGGGUGCCAUUGAUACUGAUGGACUUGAGUCAAGUCGAGGUAGGCGGAAUUGACGGUGUAGCGGUGAAAUGCUUAGAUAUCGUCAAGAACACCAAUAGUGAAGACAGCUUACUGGGCUUAAACUGACGCUGAGGCACGAAAGUGUGGGGAUCAAACAGG